rnacentral:lncRNA from 1 species
AUUGCCUUUUUCUAGGAUAUUGCUUAGAAUUGUUUGAAGUGCUGGUUUGGUGUUCAUGAAAUUUCUCAGGUGUUCUUUGCUGUGGAAGUAUCUAAUUUCUCCAUCAACUUUGAAAGAUAAUUUUUCAGGAUACAACAGUCUAGGUUGGAAGUUAUUUUCUUUUAGGGCUUGAGGGGUUUUUUGUUUUGUUUUGUUUUUGGUACCGGGGAUCAAACUCGGGUCCUUGCACUUGUGAGGCAGGCAGCGGAACCACUGAGCUAAAUCCCCGGCCCCUAGGGCUUGAACUACUUCACUCCAGGCUCUCCUUGAUUUGAGGGUUGGUGUUGAGAAGUCUGCUGUGAUUCUGAUGGGUUUUUCUUUGUAGGUGAUUUGUUUCUUUUCUCUAACUGCAUGUAGGAUUUUGUUCUUCUGUUGGGUUUCUGGGAUCUUGACUAUUAUAUGUCUAGGUGUAGAUUUCUUUUGAUCAUGGCUAGUUGGAGUUCUAUAUGCCUCACUUAUCUGUAUGUCCAAUUCUCCACCUCUGUCUGGGAAGUUUUCUACUAUUACUUCUGUGAACAGUUGUUUUUAUGUCAGUUGUACUUUCUCCUGUUUUUUCAUGGACUUCUAUCAGUCUUAUGUUAUUCUUCUUUGCAUCAUCUAGCAGCUGCUGGAUUGAUUUCUUGUAAUCCCUUACUAUUUUUAAGAAAUCUCUGUUUUCAUGGUCCAUAACUGCAUUCCUGUCUUCUAUAUCUGAUAUUCUAUCUUCAGAUUCCCUUAAUCUGCUGUGGAUGCUUUCAGUGGAGUUUUUAAUCUCCUGAAUGUCUGUCUGAAUCUGUUUCCUAGAUGCCAUUUCUUUCUUAUGUUGGGCGAUCAUGGUUUCCAUUUCUUUUUUUUUUUUUUUUUUGGUGCUGGGGAUCGAACUCGGGUCCUUGCGCUUGCGCAGCAGGUGGCGAAACCACUGAGCUAAAUCCCUGGCCCUGGCAUUUCUUAUGCUGGGCAUUCAUGGCUUCCAGCAUAUUUCUGAGCUCAUCUAUUUUUUUAUCUGUUUCUUUUCUAGAGCAUCUAAUCAUGCCUUUCACUCUGCUCACCAUCUCUAUAGUUAUCUGGGAGAUUAUUUCUGCUUUCAGUUUUUCUAGAGCCCCAUUCAUCUGUUUUGUUACUUCCUGUGCUAUCAGUUCAGAGUGUCCAGGUGGUUGAUUAAAAGUCUUUUCCACCUUGUUUCCCCCUGAAUUUGCCUUUUGUGGGGUGGAAGUCUGAGCUUUUGCCUUGCUUAAAUGUCUUCUCAUUUUUGUUUUUGGUACUGUCCUUGGUUUAGUUUCUGGGUUGAUACUUUGUUUUAUUUUGUUUUGUUUUUUGGUACCAGGGAUCAAACUUGGGACCUUGUGCUUGCGAGGCAGGUGACGGCACUGGGUUGAUACUUUGAAGUUGCUUAUUUGAGAAUGACUGUCUGGAAUGGUGUCUGGGAACUUCUGAAAGCUCCCCAAGAGAGACCAACUCUCAGCCGAGGCUCAGGACCACGGCUCUGGGGAUAGUGUGUGCAUCCCACAGUAUGGAAAGCUGACAGAAGACAUGGAUUGUUGGUCUUAGAAGAUGGGGAAUGGAGCACUCAGGAGGCUGAAGCUGGAGGAUCGAUACAAGUUCGAGGCCAGCCUGGGCUACAUAGUGAAUUCAAGACCAGCCUGAACAACAUAGUGAG